rnacentral:lncRNA from 1 species
GAGAAAACUCAUCGAAUAGGAACCCAGGCACACGAUUUCGGAUAUCAACAAUGUUUGUCCCCUCGUGAGAUAUUACCUCAAAUUCAGCUUCAUUAGCACGAAGAACCUGGUAGGUACGUGCACGCUCAAGAGCCUCUACGACACGCCUCUCAGCUGUAGGCACGAGAAUAGAUGUCCACUGUAUGCUAGUCUCACGACGUUCAUUGAACCAAGUCAUGAGCUGCCUUCGAAUGCAUUCCAUCAUCUGAAUUAUUGGAAGACCGGAGGCUUCUAAAAUCCAAGCAUUCAGAGAUUCUACUAUAUUGGCCGUCAAAUGUCCAAACCUUGUCCCCUCAAAAUAGGCAGUAGCCCAUAAGCGAGGGGGGAUUCGCCUAAUCCAGUAUGCAGCGUCUUGAGAUAUCUCUUCAAUCUCUAUGACUUUUGCUUCAAAAUCCAUGACAGUAAGAGCAUGGGCAGCAUCCCACAAAAGGUUGACAAGCAUUGUAUUGUUGAAUUCCUUACGAAAGCUUUCGCUCAAAUGACGCAUGCAAAAGCCAUGGAAAGCAGUGGGAAAG